ensembl:rRNA 5S_rRNA 5S ribosomal RNA
UACCACCCUGAACACGCCCUAUCUUGUCUGAUCCUGGAAGCUAAGCAGGGUCGGGCCUGGUUAGUACUUGGAUGGGAGAAAUCGGGUG